AGGAUUUGGAGCAAAUUAGAAGAAAAUUCGCAACUAUUGGGCUACCCGCAUUCGGAAUAUUGUUUGGGCCAUAUCUUGAGUUCUAGAAGUCGGAUUUGGGCGAGAAAACAGCCCACGCGAAGAUAAUUUAAUUUUCUAUCAUUCUAGAUGGGUCCAGAUAUCAAAAGUCCGCUGAAAUAGCCCAGGAACAGGGGAGAAAGUCAACUGCGAAUUUUGACCUUUUGGAAACCCAUUCAGUUUCGGAAUUGCCUUGUAUAUUCCUAUUAGAAUAAAAACACUUUUGUAUUAGGUAUUAUUAGAUAGAGAAUUACAUACGUGCUAUUGAGGAGAGCCACGGAGAAGAAGAAAGAGGAUCGACAUUUUGUAUCGUAUUCUAUUCUUUUUAUGAUUCUUACGUGUUUUACUAUGACUAUGAUUGGCUAAACCUCUAUUUUUGGAGGGCUGUUUUGAAGCCCUAAACUUUAUGACAAUGAUAUUUUGAUUUUCCGAGAUAUGUUCUUGAUUGCGCUUAUAUAUACGUCAAUGCUUAUAGAUAUUCUUGAAUUAACUGUGGUAUGUGGAUAUCCAAUUCAGUUAUGUGAUUGAUUUAUCUGUAAAGUCGAUUAAUCUUUCUAUGUGGUCCAUGGGAUUAAUUGUAUUAGUGUGUAAUCUGUUUUAGCCUUUCUAUGUGGUCCAUGGGGUUAUGCGGAUAGCAGAGCUUGUUUCUAUGUGGGCCAUGGCAAGUUCUCUAUAAGUGUCUUUCAGAACAUAUCAUAAGAGUUUCAGAGUAUGUCAUGGGUUUAGUGGUGGAUUAAUAUGCUUUCCAACAUGCUUCUUUAAUUGUUAAAAACACAUUUGCUUUAGUUUCAUAAUUAGUUUAAUUAAUAGAUAAAACAAAAUCCAAUCGUUAUUUCUUUGCAAAAUAUAAGUUAAGUGAGCCCUUGAUUCCUGGCGUUGAACGAUACCCUUACUUAUUCUAUAUUAUUAUCGGCAGAAAAAGGGUUUAAAUUGAGUCACAUCAAUUUUUGGCGCCGCGCCGCCGGGGAUUGAAAUUCACUUUGCUUUUGUUUUGUAUUAAUUUUUGUCGUUGUGGUUUAAACGGUUUGUGUUUUCAGGUACAUGGUCAAAACCCGUACAUCUGAAGAACCUCUUGAACCGUUUGAAGAUAAUCCUGAGAAGCUCUUUCGUAAGAAGAGCGAAACCAAAAAAGAUCAAUUAGACAAGAAAAGUGGAGGGAAGCUCAUUGUAGUCGAUAUGGCUAUAGUACCUACACUUCGUGAUGAUGUUGCUGUCUCGGUGGCUAAUAUUGGCCAUUCAUGUAUGGUCUAUCCCAAUCCUGCUGUGGGGGAAUCAGAUACUGCGGCCUCUUUCUCUGAUCUUAUAAAGAGAAACUUGGCAAUCAUCAAGUUUGUUCCAUGUGCAGGGUCCUAAAAGCGGAUGAAUGGACCCAACAUGGCAGCAUUCCUCUGUAUCUCAUACGGGUUUAGUUGAUCAAAAUGAUCAAGGAAUUCUUGCAGAAAUUCUAUCCGGCAACUCGAGUCAUGAACAUGAGAAGCCAAAUAGCUGGAAUUCAUCAAAAUGCCACUGAAACUUAUGCUGAAUAUUAUGCAAGAUUCCAAAAGCUGCAAAAGAGAUGCCCACAACAUGGAUUUUCUAAGGGGAGUCUUCUUCAUUUUUUCUAUCAAGGUCUUCAUGAAGGUGAAAAGAAACUCUUGAAUUCAGCUGCUGGUGGUGCUUAUGUAGAUUUAUCUCAUGAUGCUGCAGAGAAACUAAUUGCUAAGGGAGCUGCAAAUGAACUUCAAUAUGGUAGUCGUGCAAGUUCUGGCAUAACUCAGGGAGCUCAAUCUGAUCAAAGGCUCUCAAAUAUUGAGCAAAGUAUCGAAAAACUGAAUGCAUUACUAUUGAGCGCUAAAACACCGACACCUCAAGUAUGUGGUAUUUGUUCAACUCCGGGACAUUUUACUGAUGGUUAUCCUACAUUGGUUGAACCUACUUUUGAAGAUGUUAAUGUUGUUGGCUUUGGCAAUCAAGGAGCAAACCAAUUCUCUAAUACUUUCAAUCCAAGAUGGAAGGAUCACCCCAAUUUGAGGUACGGGAACACUAACAAUGCUUUAAAUGGGUUUCAGUUUCAAAACAAUUCUGCACCAUCUGGUUUUCUACAAAGGGGUCAAGUCUCCCAAAGCACAAACAAUGAUAACACUAUUGAGAAAUUAUUGUCCAUGUAGGUUGAUGGGCAAACGGAAAUGCAAAAACAAUGCACUACAAAUUCUCAAGAUAUUAGAGAGAUGCUGAAGCAACUUGGGGAUGUGAUAAAGAAAAUUAAUCAAGAACAUGAGCCUGGACGGUUGCCUGGAACUACACAACCAAAUCUGAAAUUCGAGCAUGCUAACAUCAUUACUACUAAGAGUGGCCGGAAUGUCAUUCCCACUCAAAAGGUAUUGGAAAAUCAGGUUGAUAAGCAUGGUAUCGAAAAAGACCCAGCAACUGAAAGAACUUCACACAACAAAUUGGUUGAAGAAAGUAAGAAUUCUCAAGCCAAGGAGGAUAGUCAUGAGAAUGAGGAUGGAGCUGAGAUUGUGCACAACAAUUCUGAGGAGAAACAUACUUCUCCAAUUUCUGCUAGUAAGUGUCUUAAACCUUCAAAUUCGGUUAUUACUAAUAGUCGCUUCGAUUCUGUCCCUUUCCCAGCUAGGUUGGUUCAGACAAAGAAGAGUGCAUUAGAGACAAAUAUUUUGGAGACUUUUCGCAAGGUUCACAUUAAUUUGCCUUUACUGGAGUGCAUUCAGAAUCUUCCAGCAUAUGCCAAGGUAUUGAAGGACUUGUGUACUAAACGAAGGAGGCUCAAGGGGAGUGAAGUUGUUGAGAUGAAGGAGAAUGUGUCUGCGGUUCUACAAGGAAGGUUACCAAGAAAGUGUAAGGAUCCAGGAAGCUUCACUAUUCCUUGCACCAUUGGUAAAUCUAAAUUUGAGAAUGCGUUACUUGAUUUGGGUGCGUCAAUUAAUGUUAUGCCAUCUAGCUUGUAUGAGAAAUUGUGUAUUAAAACUGAACGUGUAUUAAAACUGAACUUAAAAUAGAUGGUGUUACAAUUUUAUUAGCUGACAGAUCUCACGUUUACCCGAAAGGUGUUUUGGAGGAUGUUCUUGUGCAGGUUGGCAGGUUUCAAUAUCCGGCUGAUUUUUAUAUCUUAGACAUGGGAGAUGCGAAUAAUGCACAACUUAUUCUUGGUAGACCAUUUAUGUGUACAGCUCAAACAAGAAUUGAUGUUGCAAGAGGAGAGCUCAGUAUGGACUUUGAUAAUGAAACCAUCAAGUUCAACAUGUUUGAGAUGAUGCGAUAUCCCGUAGAUACUGAGACAUGCUUUACAAUGAGUACAACUGGUAGCAUUGCUCAAAAGUACUUCGAGCUGAUGAAGGAUGAUGUAUUGGAAACAGUGAUUUCUCAAGGCAUCGGUGUUAAUCAGGAAGGAAAUUCUCCAGCUCUUGAAGAGAUUUCUAUCACUCAUAUAGAUGAAAUUCUAGAGCAAUGUAAUGCCUUGCAAGGAGCAGAGAUUACAGGAGAACGGAAGUUUGUACUCCCUAAAACUUCUAGUGAAAAGCAGUUGCCUUCAGUUGUUCAAGCACCACAAUUGGAUCUUACGCCAUUGCCUGCCCAUCUCAAGUAUGUUUUUCUUGGGAAAGACGAGACACUACCAAUCAUUAUCUCAUCAAAGCUCACAUCUGUGCAAGAAGAAAAAGUGGUGGAGUUGGUCUGUAGUCAUAUUAAAGCUAUUGGUUGGAGUUUGGCGGAUAUUAGGGGAAUCAGCCCCACACUAUGUGUUCAUAGAAUUCACUUGGAAGAAGGUGCCAAACCUGUGAGAGUUCCUCAACGACGACUCAAUCCUCCUAUGAUGGAGGUUGUGAAGAAGGAAGUCAUUAAGCUGCUAGACAAUGGGAUCAUCUAUCCUAUUUCUGAUUCUAUGUGGGUUUCUGCUGUUCAUGUUGUUCCUAAGAAGUCUGGUAUUACAGUGGUAGCAAAUGAGGAGAAUGAGUUGGUGCCUCAACGUACAGUGACUGGUCAUUGUGUUUGUAUUGACUACAGGCCUCUCAACAAUGCUACAAAGAAAGAUCAUUUUCCCCUGCCGUUCAUUGAUCAAAUGUUGGAAAGGUUAGCCGGUCAUGAGUAUUAUUGUUUCUUAGAUGGGUACUCUGGAUAUAAUCAAAUUGCUAUAGCUCCAGAAGAUCAAGAGAAGACAACAUUCACAUGCCCCUUUGGUACCUUUUCUUUUAGACGCUUGUCUUUUGGUCAGUGUAAUGCCCCUGGAACGUUUCAAAGAUGUAUGAUGAGUAUAUUCUCUGAUUAUGUGGGAAAAAUCAUUGAGGUUUUCAUGGAUGAUUUCAGUGUCUUUGGAGAUAGUUUUGAUGAUUGCUUGAAGAAUUUGGGGGUUGUUUUGAAAAGAUGUGAAGAAACAAAUUUAGUGCUCAACUGGGAAAAAUGUCACGUCAUGGUAACCCAUGGGAUUGUUCUUGGACAUGUGAUUUCUUCAAAAGGUAUUGAGGUCGAUAAAUCUAAAAUUGACUUGAUACGGUACUUGCCCACUCCGUCAAGUGUAAAGGAGAUUCGGUCUUUUCUUGGCCAUGCUGGUUUUUACAGAAGAUUUAUUCAGGACUUCUCUAAAAUAGCAAGGCCCUUAACUAAUCUUCUUCAAAAGGAUGUACUUUUCGAGUUCAAUGAUGAGUGCAAGGUGGCAUUUGAGGAGUUAAAACUAAAUCUUACGUCAUCUCCUAUCAUACAGGCACCUGAUUGGGGCUUACCUUUUGAAAUAAUGUGUGAUGCCUCAGAUUAUGCUGUUGGAGCUGUACUUGGGCAACGUAAGGACAAGAAGGUGCAUGCUAUUUAUUAUGCUUCUAGAACUUUGAAUGAUGCACAACUCAACUAUGCUACCACUGAGAAAGAAUUGCUGGCUGUCGUCUUUGCUUUGGAAAAAUUUCGAUCAUACUUGCUUGGUACAAAGGUGAUUGUAUUUACAGACCAUGCAGCUCUUAAGUACUUGUUGGCCAAGAAGGAGGCAAAGCCACGACUUAUCCGUUGGAUCUUAUUACUACAAGAGUUUGACAUUGAAAUCAAGGAUAAGAAGGGAUCCGAGAAUGUUGUAGCUGAUCAUCUAAGUCGAUUGGUGAGGGAGGAAGAAGAUGUGCCCCUGACCGAGGCGUUUCCAGAUGAACAACUUCUCCAGAUUGAGGUAAGUGCUCUUAAUGAGGUCACACCAUGGUAUGCAGACAUAGUGAACUAUCUGUUUGACAAAAGUCUUCCUAGUACAUUGACUCGUGCACAAAAAGAUAAGAUUAAACAUGAUUCAAAAUUUUAUGUGUGGGAUGAUCCAUAUCUUUGGAAACAUUGUCCGGAUUUAAUAAUAAGGAGAUGUGUGCCUGAUAAUGAAUUCAAAUCUGUGUUGAAAUUUUGUCAUAAUUAUGCAUGUGGAGGACAUUUUGGAGGAAAAAGAACUGCACAUAAGGUGUUAGAGUGUGGUUUUUAUUGGCCUACAAUGUUUAAAGAUGCUCAAGAAUUUUGUAGGACUUGCGACAGAUGUCAACGAGUAGGGAACAUUACUGCUAGGAAUGAGAUGCCCAUGAAUCCGAUGUUUAAUGUUGAAAUAUUUGAUGUUUGGGGUAUCGAUUUCAUGGGUCCAUUUCCGAAGUCUAAUGGUUUUGAAUAUAUACUUUUAGCUGUUGAUUAUGUGUCGAAGUGGGUGGAAGCUAAAGCCACCCGCACUAAUGAUUCGAAAGUGGUUUCAGAUUUCUUGAGGACUAACAUUUUUGCUAGGUUCGGGAUGCCAAGAGUGGUUAUCAGUGAUGGAGGGUCCCAUUUCUGCAAUAGGACCAUCGAGGCACUAUUUCGCAAGUAUAACAUCUCACAUAAAGUUUCUACACCUUAUCAUCCUCAAACCAAUGGACAAGCAGAGGUGUCUAACAGAGAAAUCAAGAAAAUUCUUGAAAAGACUAUAGGAUCUACACGGAAGGAUUGGAGUCAACAGUUAGAUGAUGCACUUUGGGCUUAUAGGACGGCGUACAAGACACCCAUCGGUAUGUCUCCUUAUCGCAUUGUUUAUGGUAAGCCUUGUCAUUUGCCAGUGGAACUUGAACAUAAGGCAUAUUGGGCUAUUAAGAAAUUCAACAUGAGUCUUGAUGAGGCGGGUUUGCAUCGCAAGUUGCAAUUGUCUGAAUUGGAAGAACUACGCAAUGAAGCUUAUGAGAGUGCUCGUAUUUACAAGGAAAAGACAAAAGUGUUCCAUGACAAGAUGAUUCACAGGAAGAAUUUUGAGGUUGGACAGAAAGUUCUUUUGUAUUAUUCCCGAUUACGUCUUUUUCCUGGAAAACUACGAUCAAGGUGGAUUGGUCCAUUUGAAAUUGUUGAGGUGUUUCCACACGGAGCUGUGAGUAUUAAAAAAGAUGAUGGAAAUGUGUUUAAGGUGAAUGGACAUCGUCUUAAACCGUAUUUGGAGGAUCCUUCUAAUUAUAUCAAGGAGAGUGAGACUCUUAAUGAUGUGAUUAUCUCUGGUGCUUAAGAUCCGUGACAUCAUGUCUAGCCAAAGACGUUAAAGAAAAGCGCUUCUUGGGAGGCAACCCAAGCAUAUUGUACGGUUAGUUAUAAUUCUAUUAUAAUUAUUAUAGUUCUUAGUAGUAAAAUUAUUAGUAUUAUAUUUAUAGAUUUUUAUAGAUUUGAAAUUUUUAUUCCCGCAAGGUGCCUUGAUAAUUUUUGUGAAGUGUUUCAGGAUUUGUUUUUAGUGAUGGCAUGGUGUGGAAAUUAUUCAGAAAAGAAAAAAAGAGAAAAAUUUGAUGGCAGAUACAGAAGCUUGAAACCGCCGUUUACAUUCAGGAGAACGGGCGUUUUCAGCUUCUGCCUAACUCUUCUAUUUCACCCUUCUCGCGCAUCAAUUUUUCAGUCCAGCGCUUGCAAAUUCCUUAGGAAUUGGGCCUGUUUCAGUCCAGCCCACUCGAUCCAACUGUCCGGCCCAACUACUGGCCCAUAAGUCCAGAAUCCAGCCCGGUCCAACUGCUUUUUGCUCCUUUCUUUUGAAGCGCGUUCACGUGAAUUCUAAUGUUACUGGAAGGGUUUGAACCCUUGACCUCAAGCCUGCAAAACAAGCUGAUGACCACUCGGCCAACUAUGUCACUUGAAACAUAUGUCACUGCACUUCAUUAUGAUUAUUCAGGGCAGUUUUCUUAACUCUUCCUUAGAUAUUAAUUAAUAUAUUAUAUUAUAUUAUAUUAUAUUAUAUAUUAUUCAUCGAGGACAAUGAACCAUCCAAGUGUGGGGAGGUGUUCUCACGAAUAAUUAAAUAUAUGUAUUUAUAUAUAUAUAUAUAUAUAUAUAUUUAUAAAAUCCAAAAAAAUUAAAAAUUUUGUAUAUAAUUAUCUUGUCUCAAAGCAUGUUUAGUGAGUACUUAUACACAUAUUGUAGACUAAUGUGCAUGAUUAAUUCUGAGCAUCAUAUUCAUGAUAAAAAUCAUUCAAUGCAUGAUAAUUCUUUGUGUGUGCUUGCGAAAAUUUUAAAACUUGAGAUGCAUCUUAGUCAAUUUCUAUGAGUAAAGCAUGCUUUCACCUGGUGAGAUUUUGAGCCUAAUUUAUGAUUGAUACAAUUUUUAUCAAUUUAACUUUUUUGUGAGUGGUGUUCGUCAUUUGGCUUGUUGCUCUAGGAUUUGGUUUAAACCUUAUAGAGAUGAAAUGUUAUGUGUAUGCAUGAAAAUGAUAAAGGCACUAGGAUUAACCGCAUAUGUCCAAACAGUACCCGAGAAUUAUAUCCUUAGUGAACCCCCUUGAGCUUGUAUCCAUUUUUUUUUUGUUUAUCACCAAUCUAUGAAUUUUGAGCCUACUUGUUUAUUCUUGUCUUGAUGACUAGUAGAGCAUUUUUUGAUUCAUUCGAGCAGUGGUUAACAUUCAAGUGUGGGGAUUUCUUUGUCAAAGGGUGAAAGUUUGGUGGGAAUCAGGGAAAAAAAAAGAGAUAUGAAAAAAAAAACAAAGUAUCAGGUACUCCUUUGAGAUCAAUGGGUGGCAAUUGCAAUGUCAUAUGAAAGGGACGAGCCAUGUGCACGUGCUGGUAUUAAGCACAAUUGUACUAGAAAUUAAGGGGAACUUAAUUCCUCUUAUUUUUCUUGGUGACUUUUCACUGCUCUUGGUUACUGGAGAAAAACUUGACUUUGAAAAGAAAAAAAAUGAAAGGGAAAAAAUAGCAAGUGGAGAAUGUGUUCAUUAGUGGUACAAUGUGAAAUGGGAAGUACAUAAUUAUGUGCUUGGGCUUUAAUGCUUGUGAAAGCUUGAUCACCUUUUACAUGAUUCAAAUUUCAUGUUGAGUGCUUAAUCAGAAGUGAACACUAUGCUCUAUUAGUUAUCGAGUUAGCCAUUUGUUAGCUUAUUUCUUUGAUAUCCUACCCCAUGCCUAAGCCUCGUUACAACCCUUAACAAAGUCCUUUUGAUUUGUGCGUGCAUAUAUACAGAGUAGUGUAGAUUUGGUGGACAACCAAGUUUAUGGUAGUGCAGGUCCAUAUUGAUUGAAUUUGAGUGAAGCACUUACACCCAAACACUUGUGUGAAUUAAGAGUAAUGUGAGAUUUUCUACCCAUAGCAUGCUUGCUUAUUGGAUGCGACUUUGAUGUCUAUUUCAUGAUAUUUUUGUCUAUCUAGACACUGUGUGCAUACUUGGAUUGUUGUGUAUAAAUGGUACAUAAGUGAUAGUACUUGUACUUUCACACAUGUUCAGAUUGUUAUGUAAGUGAGGUUUGCAUAUGUGGAGUACUAUGAUGAUUUCUUUGCUUGAGACUUGGUGAUUAAAAAUAUUUGAUUUUGUGGGAUAUCUUCUAUAAACCCUCACGAGACAACACUCGUCCUACUAGGGCUGCCUAGGGGUUUAACGGCUUGUUGCAUACGCUCAAUGCAAUCGUGUCAUCUACGAAAGUGAUGCUAGUAGUUAGCUAGUAAUAUUGUUAUUUUAUGUUGCCCGAGGACGUGCAAUAUGCUAAGUGUGGGGAUAUUUGAUAGAGUAUAUAUUUAUAUAUAUAUUAGAUGAUAAUUAUUCUCAUAUUAGUUAUAUUUUGCAUUUAAUUGGACAUAUAUUAAUUAUAUUUUAAUAUCUUAUUAUAGGGAGCAAGGAAUUCUAAAUUGGAGAGGAUUUGGAGCAAAUUAGAAGAAAAUUCGCAACUAUUGGGCUACCCGCAUUCGGAAUAUUUUUUGGGCCAUAUCUUGAGUUCUAGAAGUCGGAUUUGGGCGAGAAAACAGCACACGCGAAGAUAAUUUAAUUUUCUAUCAUUCUAGAUGGGUCCAGAUAUCAAAAGUCCGCUGAAAUAGCCCAGGAACAGGGGAGAAAGUCAACUGCGAAUUUUGACCUUUUGGAAACCCAUUCAGUUUCGGAAUUGCCUUGUAUAUUCCUAUUAGAAUAAAAACACUUUUGUAUUAGGUAUUAUUAGAUAGAGAAUUACAUACGUGCUAUUGAGGAGAGCCACGGAGAAUAAGAAAGAGGAUCGACAUUUUGUAUCGUAUUCUAUUCUUUUUAUGAUUCUUACGUGUUUUACUAUGACUAUGAUUGGCUAAACCUCUAUUGUUGGAGGGCUGUUUUGAAGCCCUAAACUUUAUGA
rnacentral:lncRNA from 1 species